rnacentral:rRNA from 1 species
GACGAACGCUGGCGGCGUGCUUAACACAUGCAAGUCGAACGAAAAGACGGAAAGAGCUUGCUCUUUUCAGAAUUGAGUGGCAAACGGGUGAGUAACACGUAAACAACCUGCCUUCAGGAUGGGGACAACAGACGGAAACGACUGCUAAUACCGAAUAAGUUCCAAGGGCCGCAUGGCCCAUGGAAGAAAAGGUGGCCUCUACCUGUAAGCUAUCGCCUGAAGAGGGGUUUGCGUCUGAUUAGCUGGUUGGAGGGGUAACGGCCCACCAAGGCGACGAUCAGUAGCCGGUCUGAGAGGAUGAACGGCCACACUGGAACUGAGACACGGUCCAGACUCCUACGGGAGGCAGCAGUGGGGAAUCUUCCGCAAUGGGCGAAAGCCUGACGGAGCAACGCCGCGUGAGUGAUGACGGCCUUCGGGUUGUAAAACUCUGUGAUCCGGGACGAAAAGGCAGAGUGCGAAGAACAA